GUAAAUGUUCUGUGAGCGCAGAAUAAAAGAAUCUUAUUCUGCUGUUUGGUGGUGGAGUGUCCUGUGAAGUCAAUCAGUUAGAGAAGGAAGACUUUGACUUCUGGCUCAAAUGGAAUAAUAGUGACCAGAUUUACCCUCCUGCCUGGUACAAACAAAAGUCCCGAAGAAACAAGACAAAAUAUAACAGUGAGUCUCAUAUACACCUGACAGCGGAGGACAGAGACCUAAGAGACUGGAGAAACCAAGGAGCUGGUUGUUCAAGAGCAUGGAACUCCUCCCAUCACUCCCUCUUGCUCCCUCUCUGAUCACACAACACACUGGUUCCCCUUGCCUUCUGCCAUGAGGAAAAGUUCCCUGAGGCCCCAACCA
rnacentral:lncRNA from 1 species